AGCAGCCGCGGUAAUUCCAGCUCCAAUAGCGUAUAUUAAAGUUGUUGCAGUUAAAAAGCUCGUAGUUGAAUUUCGGGAUCAAUUCGUCGGUCGUGCUUUCGGGUACGUACUGGUGUUUAUUGGUUUCUCCCUUCUGACGAACCAUGAUGUCAUUAAUUUGGUGUUAUGGGGAGUUAGGACUGUUACUUUGAAAAAAUUAGAGUGUUUAAAGCAGGCAUUAGCUUGAAUACAUUAGCAUGGAAUAAUGAAAUAGGACGUUCGAUCCUAUUUUGUUGGCUUCUAGGAUCAACGUAAUGAUUAAUAGGGAUAGUUGGGGGCAUUAGUAUUCAAUUGUCAGAGGUGAAAUUCUUGGAUUUAUUGAAGACUAACUACUGCGAAAGCAUUUGCCAAGGAUGUUUUCAUUAAUCAAGAACGAAAGUUAGGGGAUCGAAGACGAUCAGAUACCGUCGUAGUCUUAACCAUAAACUAUGCCGACUAGGGAUCGGAUGAUGUUAAUUUUUAAUGACUCAUUCGGCGCCUU
rnacentral:rRNA from 1 species